rnacentral:rRNA from 1 species
AACGAACGCUGGCGGCAUGCCUAACACAUGCAAGUCGAACGAGACCUUCGGGUCUAGUGGCGCACGGGUGCGUAACGCGUGGGAAUCUGCCCUGGGGUGCGGAAUAACUCGGAGAAAUCCGUGCUAAUACCGCAUAAUGUCUUCGGACCAAAGAUUUAUCGCCCUGGGAUGAGCCCGCGUAGGAUUAGCUAGUUGGUGGGGUAAAGGCCUACCAAGGCGACGAUCCUUAGCUGGUCUGAGAGGAUGAUCAGCCACACUGGGACUGAGACACGGCCCAGACUCCUACGGGAGGCAGCAGUGGGGAAUAUUGGACAAUGGGCGAAAGCCUGAUCCAGCAAUGCCGCGUGAGUGAUGAAGGCCCUAGGGUUGUAAAGCUCUUUUACCCGGGAUGAUAAUGACAGUACCGGGCGAAUAAGCUCCGGCUAACUCCGUGCCAGCAGCCGCGGUAAU